rnacentral:tRNA from 1 species
GACUUCGUAGCUCAGUUGGAAGAGCAUUGGGCUAGUAUUCCAAAGGUCGUAGGUUCGAAUCCCACCGUGGCA